GCAAACCCACUGAGCUGUGGGAAUCCCUUUCCUCCUCAGUCAGGGUAGAGGGCAAGACCAGCCUUUGGGUGUCAUGCAGAUCAUGGUCAUAAUGACUUUCACGAGAGCGCAGCCCAGUUUUCCUGGUGCUGACACUG
ensembl:scaRNA predicted gene, 24682